GACGAACGCUGGCGGCGUGCUUAACACAUGCAAGUCGAACGGAAAGGCCCUGCUUUUGUGGGUUGCUCGAGUGGCGAACGGGUGAGUAACACGUGAGUAACCUGCCCUUGACUUUGGGAUAACUUCAGGAAACUGGGGCUAAUACCGGAUAGGAGCUCCUGCUGCAUGGUGGGGGUUGGACAGUUUCGGCGGUUGGGGAUGGACUCGCGGCUUAUCAGCUUGUUGGUGUGGUAGUGGCUGACCAAGGCUUUGCCGGGUAGCCGGCCUGAGAGGGUGACCGGCACCAUCGGGACUGAGAUACGGCCCAGACUCCUACGGGAGGCAGCAGUGGGGAAUAUGGCAAAAGGGGCGGAAGCGUGAUGCAGCAGCGCCGCGUGCGGGAGGACGGCCUUCGGGUUGUAAACCGCUUUCGCCUGUGACGAAGCGGGAGUGACGGGAAUGGGUAAAGAAGCACCGGCUAACUACGUG
rnacentral:rRNA from 1 species